rnacentral:rRNA from 1 species
UACGUAGGGAGCAAGCGUUGUCCGGAAUCAUUGGGCGUAAAGCGCGCGUAGGCGGCCCCGUAAGUCCGCUGUGAAAGUCAAAGGCUCAACCUUUGAAAGCCGGUGGAUACUGUGGGGCUAGAGUCCGGAAGAGGCGAGUGGAAUUCCUGGUGUAGCGGUGGAAUGCGCAGAUAUCAGGAGGAACACCAAUAGCGAAGGCAGCUCGCUGGGACGGUACUGACGCUAAGGCGCGAAAGCGUGGGGGAGCGAACAGG